UACGAAGGGGGCUAGCGUUGUUCGGAAUUACUGGGCGUAAAGGGUUUGUAGGCGGUUGAACAAGUCAGUGGUGAAAGCCCAGAGCUUAACUCUGGAAUUGCCAUUGAAACUGUUCGGCUUGAGAGUGUUAGAGGAAAGUGGAAUUCCUAGUGUAGGAGUGAAAUCCGUAGAGAUUAGGAGGAAUAUCGAUGGCGAAGGCAGCUUUCUGGGACAUUUCUGACGCUGAGAAACGAAAGCGUGGGUAGCAAACAGG
rnacentral:rRNA from 1 species